UGGGUCAGAGGAGAUCGCUGCCUGGCUGUUUUUGGCAAUGGUAGAACUCACACUGGUGAGAUAGUGGGAUCCGGUGGUUCUAGACUUGCCAACUAUAGCCAGAGAGCAGAGCACUCCCUACAUUG
rnacentral:pre_miRNA from 17 species